CCUACGGGAGGCAGCAGUGAGGAAUAUUGGUCAAUGGGCGGGAGCCUGAACCAGCCAAGUCGCGUGAGGGAAGACGGUCCUAUGGAUUGUAAACCUCUUUAGGCGGGGAGCAAUGCCGGGCACGCGUGCCCGGAGGGAGAGUACCCGCAGAAUAAGCAUCGGCUAACUCCGUCCCAGCAGCCGCGGUAAUACGUAGGAUGCGAGCGUUAUCCGGAUUUAUUGGGUUUAAAGGGUGCGUAGGCGGAUUUUUAAGUCAGCGGUAAAAUGUCCGGGCUCAACCCGGGCCGGCCGUUGAAACUGGGGAUCUUGAGUGGGCGAGAAGUAUGCGGAAUGCGUGGUGUAGCGGUGAAAUGCAUAGAUAUCACGCAGAACUCCGAUUGCGAAGGCAGCAUACCGGCGCCCGACUGACGCUGAGGCACGAAAGCGUGGGGAUCGAACAGGAUUAGAUACCCCAGUAGUC
rnacentral:rRNA from 1 species